AUAGACAAGGCCGACGCGGGUCAAAGUGUAGUAUCUGUUCUUAUCAUCUUAAUAUCUGAUACGGGUUGUAGAUGGACCUAAGAUAACACAUCUAUUUUUCCAAAUUAGUGGAGCGCUUCAAGCCAGCUUUACCUCUGCCGCUGGUCGGCCCGUUAUGGCACUAUCUUCGGGAUUGGCCUACGUAUG